rnacentral:lncRNA from 1 species
AUUUCAGGUUCAUCUGACGAAAGAUUUUGACCACUUUUUAAACACUUGAGUGUCUAUUUCAUUUGAAUCAAUUAGUUUAUGUGAAAGAUUUUAACUGAUUUAGUCAUUAAAAACGAUCCGAUUCAAGCUUAAAUAUGAAAAAUCUACCAAAUAUGCCGAAAAGUGGCCGCAUCCGUGUUCAUCCUCAACCUUUAUAUAUGUUAUGUAUUAUCAUAAAAUACAACUUACAUUUCAAUAUUAAGGAUGAACACGAAUGCGGCCACUUUCGUUUUACACGAAAACCGUCUAAAAUUUAACUAAAAUGCUAGAAUUGUGAAGAUUUCAGUAAUUUAGCAUGACUUAAUGGUGCUAGUACUCGAUAUAUGUGCAUUGUAUUGUCAAAAACAGCCCAUUUUUAUGUAGCAGAAGCAUUCUACUGUCCAAUAAAUAACUAAACGUUUACAUUUUAACAAUUUUGUAAAACUGCUAUAUUUUGGGGCCAAAAAGGGGUCUUACCGGACCUACUCCUUU